AAACUGUUUUAUUUUGAGUUGUUGCAGGAAAUUCUGAAUUCCAGUUUGAAUAAAGAUGAAGUGACAGUUAUUGUUCAUGCAAAAAGCACCAUAAAUACCCAAAAUCAUGGAUGAGGAAAAUAUUACUGAAGUGACAGAGUUUAUUCUUUUAGGAUUCACAGAAGAUGCGGUGUUACAGCAAGUACUCUUUUUCAUCUUCCUUACCAUUUACAUCAUUAGUCUGCUAGGGAAUAUUACUCUGAUUUCUCUCAUCUGUGCUGAUUCACGACUCCAUACACCCAUGUAUUUCUUCAUUGGAAACCUGUCAUUCCUGGAUCUGUGGUAUUCUUCUGUCUAUGCUCCCAAAAUCCUGAUAACAUGCAUCACUGAAGACAAAAGCAUCUCCUUUGCUGGUUGCCUGGCUCAGUUCUUCUUCUACCCCCCCCUGCUGGGCUGGCCUAUAGUGAAUGCUACCUACUGGCUGCCAUGGCUUAUGAUCGUUAUGUGGCCAUCUCCAACCCCUUGCUUUACUCCCAGGCUAUGUCUCCAAGGUUACGUGCCAGUCUUGUUGCAGCAUCCUAUCUUGGUGGCUUUGCAAACUCCACCAUUAUCACCAGUGAGACAUUUACCCUGAGUUUCUGUCGAGACAAUAUCAUUGAUGACUUCUUCUGUGAUCUGCCUCCUCUUGUGAAGUUGGCAUGUGAUGUGAAAGAGAGCUACCAGGCUGUGCUCUAUUUCAUAUUGGCUUCUAAUGUCAUCACUCCCACUGUGCUUAUUUUGGCCUCCUACCUCUUCAUCAUUGUAGCCAUUCUGAAGAUCCGCUCCACCCAGGGCCGCCUCAAGGCCUUCUCUACAUGUGGUUCCCACCUGACAGCUGUCACUUUGUACUAUGGUUCAAUCCUCUUUAUUUACUCCCGGCCAAGCACAAGUUAUGCCCUGGAGAGGGACAAAGUGGUGUCAGUGUUCUAUACUGUAGUGAUUCCAAUGCUUAACCCUAUGAUCUACAGCUUACGAAAUAAAGAUGUCAAGGAUGCAUUGAGGAAAAUGUUAGAUACAGUCAAGUUGUCAUGA